GCGUCGGUAGCGCAACGGUUUCAACACGCGCCCCGGAUAGGGUGAGAUCUGGGUUUGAAUCCCAGUUGACACA